AUUGAUACCCUGUCAACGGAUUUGUUUUGGAAACAGUGCCUUAAAACGGGCCACUGAGACUGGCCUUACUGCAUACUUUGUGGCGCAUAAUUCCAUUCAAUCAGGUGCAUGGAUUUUAAUGUUCUUCCGUUUUGUACAUGUUACAUGGAAAUACACCAAAAUCCAUAGGAAACCAUUCCAAGGUCACGUUUUUAUUUUCCUUUCAGUAAGUUGCUUUAAUCUAUGAACCGGUGAUCCUUAGGUAGUUAAGUUGCAGGUCUAACUCUUGCCACUGACCUCUGCCGCCACCGCCGCUUAUCAUCUAAGCUCUGGGCAAAUGCAGUCUGAGCAGCAAGGUGGUUCGCCUCAUUGGGCACGCACCGAAGUUAUUAGCCUCCUCACCCAUGUCACACACCCCCUAAAAAGUUUUAUAUCUAGUCGAGGGUUACAACCUAGUUUAUUAUAAUGUAUCUUCAUCUGAGACCUUUAAAAAAUUAAAAAAAAUAGAAUUCAAAUAUAACAAUUUAAUUAGCAGACAGAGGUCCAGGCUAGCUCCACUAUUUAUUGGUCCUAUUAUUUCCUUUUUUCAAACGUAUGUAAUAAUGUGUUUGAAUUUGCAUUGUGCUCUUGGCCUCUAGCACAGAAGAGAAAAAAAACACAGGUAGUAUAUUUUCCUAGUAAAUGACUGUGUGGAGUGAGGAUAACUGUAUAGGUCAGCAGCAUAUACGUACAAAUGUCGUUGUCUGGCAAGCUGUUACUGGGUGUGCACUGCUGACAGUGGUUCAAGGCAUCGGCAUACAAAUAAGUAGACGUGCAUCUCGAGGCCAGAUGGGAACACAUCGAUCUUGGUUCUUUCAUAUUACUCUAGACACUCACCUCUGAUGGAUUGUCCUCUGUUGCCGCCGGUGGUGUUGUCAUCCAAGCUCCGGGCAAUGCAGUUCGAGGCGCCGAGAAAAAAGUUGGUGGUCUGACUAGUGAGGCUCGUGACCAGCUGUGGGUUUGUGGCUGUUUGAUGAUUAAAAAAAAAUACUCAUGUGUGGUAAGAUGAAUAUAGGAAUAUAUUUAUUCGGAGCAUAUUAUUGACAUGUUUAUAGCCGUGCGAA
rnacentral:lncRNA from 1 species